AUAUCGAAUAGAAUUCUUAAUUUUUUAGUUUCCAAUCAAUCGUUUAUCAAACGUGAUCGCGAUUACAUUUCACAAGUAUAACGGAUAGGCAGUCAUAGUUUAACAAACUACAUUCUCAUUUUUAACAGCUGAAAACAUGUUAGUAGUUAGGACAAAUUCCUGACGAUGGCGCGCUAAGAUUAUUCGAUCGCGGGAUAUCUUUACGACAGUAUAUAAAUCUUUUGCUCCUGUUGAAUCACUGCUUCAUAGUCGCGAUUAAUUUCGAAUCAGUGAGGACGUUGCAAAUCGUUUAAAUCUUCAUAAAACACGCUUUUUGAAUUUAUACGAGGCAAUGAAUCAUUCGUUGACAGAGCAAAACCGCGAUGAUGACUCGUUGAAAACCAUUCAGAAUUCAAGGUGGACAUUUUGGAAAGAAAGAAGCUUGUCUAGGGAAAUGAUAUUUCCAAUAAUCUGCUAUAUUUUUCAUAUCAGAGCGUCGUGCCUGUAAAAAUUUAAGAAACACACAGAAUGUAACGAAAGAAUUCCUGCUGCGUUUCCUCCUAGCAAGAGGAGAACAGUAAUAGACGCACAGUCUGUUACCUGAACCACCAGCCAUAGAAUAAGUAAAGGGAAAAAGUUGGCAUGAAAAAAAAUUCUUCCGCGUCGAGCGGCUGUUGGCCGGGUUACGUCCUUCCUGGAGAACGAGCAAAAAAAUUGGCCAGCCCUUUUUUUUAUACCUCCACUAUGGCCAUUUGACCGGCAAGGAUACCGUUGCUCCUCUCCAAAGAUACCGCUAGAUUGCUUUCCUGUUAGAAACGAGAUCAUGGCCAUCUUUCACGAUACAAGGCGUUGCAACCAUCGAUGGAAGGCUUCUUCGUUUCCUCGAUGCUUGAGAGAGUAAAAAAAAAACUCGCAGAAAGGGUAGUAAAAGGUGUGUAAAUUGGAUGGAGUUUUGGGAAAGAGAUGUGAGAGGAUUGAUG